AUACGGAGGGUGCAAGCGUUACUCGGAAUCACUGGGCGUAAAGCGCGCGCAGGCGGGCUGAUAAGUUGGAUGUGAAAGCCUACGGCUCAACCGUAGAACUGCAUCCAAAACUGUCAGUCUAGAGUGUGGGAGAGGAAGAUGGAAUUAGUUGUGUAGGGGUAAAAUCCGUAGAGAUAACUAGGAAUACCAAAAGCGAAGGCAAUCUUCUGGAACACUACUGACGCUGAGGCGCGAAGGCGUGGGGAGCAAACAGGAGUAGAUACCCUAGUAGUCC
rnacentral:rRNA from 1 species